AUUGAACGCUGGCGGCAUGCCUUACACAUGCAAGUCGAACGGCAGCACGGGGGCAACCCUGGUGGCGAGUGGCGAACGGGUGAGUAAUACAUCGGAACGUGUCCUGUAGUGGGGGAUAGCCCGGCGAAAGCCGGAUUAAUACCGCAUACGAUCUACGAAGGAAAGCGGGGGAUCUUCGGACCUCGCGCUGCAGGGGCGGCCGAUGGCAGAUUAGCUAGUUGGUGGGGUAAAGGCCUACCAAGGCGACGAUCUGUAGCUGGUCUGAGAGGACGACCAGCCACACUGGGACUGAGACACGGCCCAGACUCCUACGGGAGGCAGCAGUGGGGAAUUUUGGACAAUGGGGGCAACCCUGAUCCAGCAAUGCCGCGUGUGUGAAGAAGGCCUUCGGGUUGUAAAGCACUUUUGUCCGGAAAGAAAACGUCUUGGUUAAUACCUGAGGCGGAUGACGGUACCGGAAGAAUAAGCACCGGCUAACUACGUGCCAGCCGCCGCCGUAA
rnacentral:rRNA from 1 species